AUGUGGGGAUAUUUUGAGUAAAACUCUAAAAUAAACCUUAAAUUAUGAAAAAUAUGAUAUUUUGAGAAACCGAAUGAAAAUGCUCUUACGAAAAAAGUUACUUACAACCGAGUUAAGGAACCUCGUGACACCGUGUCCUACGUGGCAUCAUUUCAAAACGGCGUCAUUUUCGUUUUAAUUCAAAUUCCCUUCCAUCCCAUCCCAAUCGAGACAGCCAGCCUUCAGACGUUUUCCCCCUCCCCCAAUGAAGCCAGCCUUUUCUUCCCCAAAUCCCCCACGACGAGCCAGUCUCCAUUGGAAACCCUCGAACAACAGAUUCUCGUCUUCUCCACGAAACCCUCUUCUCGUCUUCUUCACGAAGCGUGGGUAUUCGUCUUCUCCUCGAACCCAAGAGCCACAAACCCAUAAACCCACGUUUCAUCCUCGUACAAAAGAGCCAGAGCCACGAACGCACAAACCCAUGAACCAGCCUCGAACCCAAGAACCACGAACCCGAUUUGAACCCACAAACCCCUAACCCAAACCAUAACACUAACCCUAACCCUAAAAUGUUUAUCUCGUUCAUCAGUCUGGCCGAGUUUCAAAUUAUGCCCUUGCAAAAAUCAGGGACAGCCUAAACGACAUCUUCUUACUACUGGAUGGAGUGUGUUUGUUAGUGCCAAAAGACUUCUUGCAGGGGACUCUGUUCUCUUUAUCUGGCAUGAUUUUGUAUAUACUUUGGUGCUGAACAAUUGACAGACAAGUUGGUAGAAUAUUUUGAUUUCCAAAGGGUCAAUCUUUAGAUGUGCAAAAUUAGAAUAUUCUAGCUGAUGUAGAAGUUGCCAUUGUCAAAUGUCAAAUUACUUAUCAUCCUCACAGGUUUUCAUGCAAAAUCCUUUGCAAUAAUCCUGCCAAUAAUCUGUCCUUGGAGAUGUAGUCAUGAGCAUGCCAUUAGUAAUUUGCAAUUGUUUUGUUUUCUAUCUACUUGUGCAGUCUGUGUUGGGUGCAAUCUCUAUAAUUGUGAGUUUGAAUGAAAUUAAAAAAUCUGCCUAUCUUUGCAAGCCCAGACCAGGCCCUUUGCAAACUUAGACCAGGCUACGUUGUAGCUUAUAUCGGAUGAAAAUAGUGGUCUACUACUUCUUGCUGCAGAGGAUGCUUUUCUUUUCUUCUUCUUUCUUUCUUUUUUUAUUUCUUUUCCUGGGCUGCUAUUCAAAUUACAAGGGCUCGGAAUCUGGGAUUUGUUUUUGGGGACAGGAUUGGGUACAUAAAAGAUAGGUUUCUAAGCUGCUAAGGAUUGUUUCAUUUUUUCUCGUACAAUGUUGAGUUCCACUGCACAAUAUACAAUAUACACACUGAAGGAAUAAAAAGCCAAGAGACCAAAAUAAUGUGUCACUAAAAGAACCUUAGCUGAAUGAGAAACAGUAAUGCUAAAAUAGAUUAUAAUUACUGAAGCUGGCAAACCAUAGAUUUUUGCAAAAAUUUUCAUAGUAGGUUUACAGUGUUAGUCCGGGACCAAGUAUGAGGUACUAAACUCCACUUUGACCUGAUUGUUAUUUUGGUUCAUCUUAGAAAUGUCGUCGUCAUCAUCAUCAAUGUCUUUUUCAUCCUUUGCUAAACGUACCUUGGGUGCACCAUUGUGCUUCUGUGAGGUCAAAGCCACAAUGAAAUACUCCAUUACUACAAAAAAUCCUGGACGACCCUUAUUUGGGUGUCCAAGGUACAAUACAUAGGUAACUACAUCAUUUGAAUGAGAUUAAACAUUUUUUGAGGUGUUCAUUAAUAUGAUGUGUCUUAUAAUGCUCAGGGAUUACCAUUCUGCAAGUUUUUAUAUUGGGUAGAUAGUAAUCAAGUGACUGAGCUUCAACUUCGAGAAAGAAUCAAUGACCUAUUAUAGAAGGAGAAAGAUAUCGAGAAGAUAGUUGAGCUUUUCGAAAAGAGGGAGAUUGACCUGCAUAAGAUAGUGGAUCAGCUCAAGGAGUUGGUGCAUCUUGCACAAGAAGCUGAAAUUAGGCGUUUACACACCCUACUUCGAAUGUUUUGGGGUUUUGCAUUAGUAGUACUGUUUUUUUGUAUUGGACUUUGGCUCUUGUAUUGAACUCUAGACUUGAUGUAGAAAUUUUUGUACAUCCUUGAUGAUGAAGAAAAUGAUAUAUCUGUGGCUAUAUUUGUUAGGCAGCAUGGUAUAUCGUGAGGGGAAUGUAAUAUUGUAGUAAUCUAUAUAUGUACUAGGCAUUAGGCAGUGUUCUGAAAA